UUUUCCCGUUUCUCUGCGAAAAAAAAAUCCAUAGCGGUUUUUCUCACUCUCAGCAGCUACUUUAUUCCUCACUUUUUUCUUUCAUUUUCUUAUGACCUCUUCUCCUUCUUAUUAUAAUUAUAAUAUAAAUAUAAACAUUCUUUCUGUUUGUACUUUGAUAAUGAUCCUGAGUUGAAAAAGUUCGUGGAACUUUGCACCUUGUUAGGUCAUAUUCCUUUCAAAAUUACGCGCUUCGGCUUGACAUCGAUUCCUUUGCACUUCCAAAAGAAUUGGUUGUGCAGUCCUUGUUUUCAGACACCAUCUUUAAGUUUCUGUCGACGUUUGAGUUCUAUAAUGGCUGGUGAUUCUUCUGUAAUGUCCAAUGGAUACAGCAAGGGCAGUGUCAAUCCACUAACUAACCUGCGAAGGACUUACCAAGUGUUAGUGGCUGCCACUCAAGAUUGGGGCAUCGGUAAGGAUGGGAAAUUACCCUGGAGAUUGCCCACUGAUCUCAAGUUUUUUAAGGACAUUACUGUGAAAACAUCCGAUCCUGGGAAGAAGAAUGCCAUUGUAAUGGGAAGGAAAACAUGGGAGAGUAUCCCUCUUGAGUACAGGCCUCUUUCUGGUCGCCUUAAUGUUGUUCUUACUCGCUCAGGCAGCUUUGAUAUUGCAACAGCAGAGAAUGUUGUUAUAUGUGGAAGCAUGUCGUCUGCAUUGGAACUGUUAGCUGCUUCUCCUUACUCUCUGUCAAUUGAGAAAGUAUUUGUUAUAGGAGGUGGUCAGAUAUUUAGAGAGGCUCUCAAUGCGCCUGGAUGUGAAGCUAUCCACUUAACAGAAAUUCAGUCAAGUAUUGAGUGUGACACUUUUAUGCCUCCAGUUGAUUUCACUAUGUUUCGGCCAUGGUACUCAUCCUUUCCUAAAGUGGAAAACAACAUCCGCUAUUGUUUCACCACUUAUGUGCGUGUGCGGAGUUCUGCUCCAGAGUCCCCGGGUCAGAACAUUGAUCAACUUCUUGAUAAUAAUUCUGAGUCCAUGAAAUUUGAGGUCAAGGAAUUUUCUUUUCUUCCUAAAAUGAUUUCUGAGAGACAUGAGGAGUAUCUAUAUCUUAAGCUGGUUCAAGACAUCAUUGCUGAAGGUACAACUAAGGAUGAUAGGACAGGGACUGGUACCUUGUCAAAAUUUGGUUGCCAGAUGAGGUUCAAUCUGCACGGAAGCUUUCCUCUUCUAACAACUAAGAGAGUAUUUUGGCGAGGGGUUGUUGAAGAGCUUCUUUGGUUUAUCAGUGGGUCAACGAAUGCCAAGGUGCUACAGGAAAAAGGCAUUCAUAUUUGGGAUGGCAAUGCAUCCAGAGAAUACCUUGAUGGUGUUGGUUUGACAGAGAGGGAGGAGGGCGACUUGGGACCUGUUUAUGGGUUUCAAUGGAGGCACUUUGGUGCCAGAUAUACUGACAUGCAUCAUGACUACUCCGGUCAAGGGUUUGAUCAGCUUUUAGAUGUUAUUAACAAGAUAAAGCAUAAUCCUGAUGAUCGGCGAAUUAUUCUCUCUGCAUGGAAUCCAUCUGAUCUUAAAUUAAUGGCACUUCCACCCUGCCACAUGUUUGCACAGUUUUAUGUAGCACACGGGGAGUUAUCAUGUCAAAUGUAUCAGCGAUCUGCUGACAUGGGCCUGGGCGUUCCAUUUAAUAUUGCAUCUUAUGCCCUUUUGACAUGCAUGAUUGCUCAUGUUUGUGAUCUCAUUCCAGGUGAUUUUAUCCAUGUUAUUGGGGAUGCACAUGUUUACUGCAAUCAUGUGAGGCCUUUGCAGGAGCAGCUCCAUAACCAGCCAAAACCUUUUCCAACUUUGGAGAUAAAUCCAAAAAAGAAAGAUAUAGAUUCUUUUGUGGCUGCUGAUUUCAAGCUCAUAGGCUAUGAUCCUCACCAGAAGAUUGAUAUGAAGCUGGCUGUCUAAAAUCUGGGGAUUCUCACUCCUUCGGGCUGUUUCUGCUUUUUGAAAUGAGGCAAGUAUGUGGUUCUGUUUUUUAUUUAGAACUCCGCUGGAUACCAUUACCAUUAUUAUUUAUAAAAGGAGAUUAAUAGAAUGUGGUUUGGUGCUUUCUUGUGGUCUAUGAGCUGUAGAACCAUGGUGAGCAUGGAUGCUGAUGUGCUGUGCAAGAUAGCUCAUAAUUUAUUAUCAACACCUUAGGGGCUGUAUGGCAAGCUAAAUGACAGGCACAACCUUAGGAAGAUUAUGUUAAAUCUGUGUACAAUUAAAAGAACAUAUCGUAGGACUUAAUUCAUCGCAUUCAUACUGUUAGUGGGAAUUCUUUGGCUCCACCUGAUAUGCCUCUAAGGUGAUUUAGAUUGACUUUUGAGGGUUCUGAAACUCGAUGUUCAAGAUAAGCGGUCUUUUUAAGUGGGCCAUUUCUAUUUUGUUUAUUUGAUAUUUUGGACAUGCAGCUUAAGUUCCUAUUAAUAAGUUUUUAUAAUA